UUGGCGGACGGGUGAGUAACGCGUGGGUAACCUGCCUCACACUGGGGGAUAACACUUAGAAAUAGGUGCUAAUACCGCAUAAGCGCACGGGACUGCAUGGUCUUGUGUGAAAAACUCCGGUGGUGUGAGAUGGACCCGCGUCUGAUUAGCUGGUUGGCAGGGUAACGGCCCACCAAGGCGACGAUCAGUAGCCGGCCUGAGAGGGUGGACGGCCACAUUGGGACUGAGACACGGCCCAAACUCCUACGGAAGGCAGCAG
rnacentral:rRNA from 1 species